rnacentral:lncRNA from 1 species
UUCAAACGUGGUUAGUUUUAAGUAAUUUUUAGACCAUUUUAGGGUUGUGAGACCCUACAAGUCAAGAAUGUGAGGCACCUGUAAGGUCAAAAGGGAAACAGAGUUUCCUUUUCUGAGCUUCCAGCCAAUGUGUUAGAGAACCGACAGAUGUAAAUAGUGUGAACAUGAGGUUAAUAGAGUAAUUCCAUAAAAUGGGCCCACUGUGCUGAUGCCCAUAAGCUUUUUUUUUUUUUUAAUUCCCAAGAAGUGAACAGGAUUAUGUCACAUUUUUCAGCAAAAUACCUGUUAACUGCAGGAGAAAUUGCAGGCUCGAGAUAAUAUCAACAGAAGGAACCCAGAAGACUUUUAAUAAAGAGAGAUAAGAAUAAUUUCUCCUAACAACAGAAUCUGUAAAGAUUGUAUGGUUAAGAAUCCAAUUAGAACCAGUUAGCACGGGCCAAGGUGACCUAGAGUUGCCACGGCAGUGGGUACUUGAAAGUCCCAUGUCAUCUUGCUGUCAAUCAAAAGUCAAGAGGUGGACCUGGGUGGGACUCUCUGGAAACUUCCCUAGGAUGCCCAAUAAAACUGAAGUGCAGGGGAGGCACAUUGUCCCUCUCUUCUCUGAGAUGACCCACUCUUUCCCUUGAGAAUGUCCCCUUCCCCUUUCCCUAUUCCUUCAAUAAACGUACACCUAUACCUCUGAGCGACAUGUCUGAAAUUUUUCUGACAUGGUUGCAAGAAUUGGGGUAUGACAGGGGGACAUUGCGUUGCCUCCAGUUCUCAGAAGGCCCCAGCUCUGUAACAAGUGAAUACCAUCUUGCCCCACCUUCGCUGGGGCAAAAGAAAAUACUGAUUUAUUUGUAGUUUCUACCAUUUAAAAAAAAAAUCAAUGGAUUUAGGAAACUUCUAUAUUAAGUUUAUUUCAUUUGAUUUCUUUGGGUGAGUAAUCAGGCCUUAUCCUUAGUCACUGGAUGAGGGUGGGCAGAUGGGGGGAUGAGGACAGUUGGAGGAAUACAGUUUGGAGCCUGGCCCACUUCAUCAAAAGGGAGAGACAAGCAAUUAAACUAAGCAGUAUUUAAAGAGCACUGAGUCUCUGAAAUUUAAGUUCUGGAAUCCAAGUUUUCUGGCCUUUAGGGCAUUGAGCAAAAUCCACAUGGUUAGUUAGGCGUUUGGUAGAUGGACGUGGGAGGAUUGGAUUAGAACAUAAAAAAAAAGCUUGGUAAGUUGUUCUUGAGUAUAAUUUACUUAAUUGUUUCUGGCCUGGUAAGUAUACCCACAGGCUUUAUAUUGAUGCAUGCGAUUCAACAAAAACAAAAAACAGUAAGAUCUUCAUCGACUUGUGGUUUAAUGGCUUUAAAUAAAUUAACUUCUUUUGGAUCAAUUCAGCACACUGAUGAUAUUUGCAAUCUAUUAACUUUUUUAUAAUACUUUUCCCCUAAGACACAACUUUAACAUGUAACUUUGAAGAAAUCAUUUUACAUCCAUCAAGCAAAGGUAUUGUUUUCUACAUGCAGAGAACUUCAAAAUGCAUAGUCAUGCACAUAAAAAAAAAAGCAUCUAUAAAAAAAGCUGGGCCCCAGCCCCAGAUUCCAAUUUGAGAGUUAGACUCUCAUGCUAAUUAUCAAUUGAAAUAGAGUCUGUUUUAUAAAAGAAAAAAAGAAAGGAAUUUGAUGAAAGGUGAAGAGUAUGUUUUAUGGGUGAGCAGUCAGUUGUGUAUCAAAUUGUGUAACUACUAUAGAUUGGAUUGUAUCCCCCACAUGCCCAAUGCAUAUAUCUCAACCCUCAAUGUGAUUAUUUUUGGAGAUAGGGUUUUAGGAGGUAAUUAAGGUGAAAGAGGUGGUAAAAGUGGGGUACUGAUCCAGUAGGAAUGAAUGCAUGUUCUCACACAUGCAUGGAAGGAAAGAAGGCACUGUUGGCAAGUCAGGAAGAGAGCCCACACCAGAAACCCAAUCAUCUGGCUUCCUUGAUCUUGGACUUCCUAACCUCUGAACUGUGAAAAUAUUAACUUCUGAUUGUCAAUUUUAGUCUAUGAUAUUUUGUUAUGGCAGCUCAAGCAGACUAAUACAAUAAAUCGCAGCAAGAUACUCAGUGUUUCUGGACCUCCAUAUCCUAAUAUGUAAAACUUGUGGAUCAGGCUAAAUAAGCCUAAGUUUU